UACGAAGGGGGCUAGCGUUGCUCGGAAUCACUGGGCGUAAAGCGCACGUAGGCGGCUUCUUAAGUCAGGGGUGAAAUCCUGGAGCUCAACUCCAGAACUGCCUUUGAUACUGAGGAGCUUGAGUCCGGGAGAGGUGAGUGGAACUGGCGAGUGUAGAGGUGAAAUUCGUAGAUAUUCGCAAGAACACCAGUGGCGAAGGCGGCUUACUGGCCCGGUACUGACGCUGAGGUGCGAAAGCGUGGGGAGCAAACAGGG
rnacentral:rRNA from 1 species